GCGGCAGCUGACAGUUUCAGUAAACCACGGAGACGAACGGAUUACGGGCGACGCUGGCGAAAUUGAAACUAAAACAGCAACAGGAAACCACAAAUAAUAAUAAUAAUAUUAGCUAUAUAAUACGGAAACCCCAAUUAUAAUAAUAGCAACAGUUAAAGCGAAAGGCAAAACCAAUCCCCAAUAUCCCCCCAUAAUAAUAACAAUAAUAAUAGAAGAAUAAAUAAUAAAAAAAAACACAAAACCGAAAAACCAAACACCAAUAACAGCUCUGGGAACAAAACGCAACGUUUGAUGAAAAUUUUUGGCAACACGUCGCGUCGUCUUGGUUGUUGUUAAAAAUAAAAAAUAAACACACACUAAAAAUAUAUAGAAAUACACAAACAACAGCAUAAUAAUAAAAA